GGGGAAUGCUGCCGUUCCCAAAGUGCCAAAUCCCAGGACACCACCACAUCCCAUUUCCCAUGGCACUACCAGGGUUUUGCACCUGGAGCCUUUCUCCCAGUGGGAUCACAGGGAAUGGGAUCCCAAGGCCCCCUGCCAUUCCCAAGGUGCCAAAUCCCAGGAUGCCAGCACUGCCAGGUCCCGUUGCCAGGGCAUUAACGGGGUUUUGAUCCUGCUGCUCCUGGGCUCACCCUUCACAGGCCCCUGGAAAGUGGGAAAGGAGCUGUGAGCAGUCCCAAAUUCCUGCUGGAUGCUCCAAGAGCAGGCUCCAGGCAAACCUGGCACUCACACCCCCAGUUCCAGAAAAAUCUUCCAGUUUAUCCACAAAAAAUCUUCUCCUAAACUGGGUAAGAGAUAUUCCUACCAGAGGCUGAAUCACUUCAAAAUCAGACUGUUUCAAAAAUAAGUCUUUCCCAUUUUCUAUCCUUUUAUUUCUUUUUUUUCCUUUUUUUAACUGACAUUUAAUAAAUUAUAAAAUCGGUGUAUGGUGAAAUAGAAUAUAUCAGCCAGAUAUGUAUGAAAUACACAUGCAUGGGAAAAAACUAUUGAACUCACCUGGAACUCACACACACGGAUCUAUAAAUACAUAUAUACACACACAUAUACAUAUAAACACCAACAGUUUCCUUUUUCCAAAAUUCAAGUCAACUAUUUAGUGGCAGAGGGAUGCUGUAAAAACACUAAAAACAAUUUUUGAUGCCACAUCAUGUGAACCUUUCAAAUAACCAUACAACUGAUCAGACAGCAAUACCUAAUGCUACUUGGAUUAAAGAUUUUUUUUUUGCUUUUUUUCUCAGGUUUUUUAAAAUUUUUUCCUGUUUUUUUUUUCCUUUUUUUUUAAUCAAUGCAAGAUUUAUAUUUGUUUUUUUUGAGACGACUUCAUAGGCAAAAGGUGGCCCUUGUCAAUGCUUGAAGCAACUAUUUGCAAUCAACAGUUUUUUUUGGACAUGAAAAAAUUCAGACAAGAAUCUGCUAAUUUUAGUAUUCCUUAGCUCUCUUUUUCCUGAUAAACUCAAUACCUGCACUUUCAACCAGUUAUAAAAAUAUUUUUCACACCAGAGGAAAUAUUUACUCUCUCUGACAUGGACUUUGGGACACAAGAGAAUCACUUCCUUCCCUCCCCCUUUCUCUGACUUUAAAGAAUCUCCUGAAAAAAUCUGCAUUCCAGCUAUUUACACAUUCCACUCCUUAAGAAGAACGGAUCAGCCCAAAUGACCCAAAAAAAAAAAAUUCCUAUGUCAUGCACAACUUCAAAACAAUGAGAAAAGAAACCAGGAAUUAAAUACGGCUGAAAAAAAUCCGGGGAAUCCAAAGAACUCCAAGGGAAAAGUGAAUUUUGGAAGGCACGGGCCCUAAAGGAGCGGGGUGGGGAGAACAACCUGGGUUGUCCUGGGGGUUUGGGGUUCAGAACACCCAGGGGUGAGCAGGCAGGGCGUGUGGGCACAGCCCCAGCUGCAGCACCCCUGCAGCUGCUGCACUGAAACCUGCAGCCUCUGCUGCCAGGCAGGGGCUCGGGCUGAGCCUGCACACAGCAGCUGCAGCAGGGACACGCCAGGGCUCGGGGGAGAUGGACUUCUCUGGGCAGGACUGAGCACAAAACUUCUCUGGGCAGGACUGAGCACAAACCCCCCAGCCCAGGAGAGGCGCUGCUCCGGGGCUCCACUCCGCAAAAAUGGAACAACUCGUGCCACAAACCACUCCUCAGAUGGGAUCUGGGGCUCCACUCCACAGAAAUGGAACAUCUCGUGCUACAAGUCACUCCAAAGAUGGGAUUUGGGGCUCCACUCCACAGAAAUGGAACUUCUUGUGCAAAUCAAAUUCAUUUCUCAAUGAAUUCCUCAACAAGUCAUUCUCAGCUGGGAUUUGGUUUCCACUUCACAAAAGAUGGAACAUCUCGUGCUACAAGUCACUCCAAAGAUGGGAUUUGGGGCUCCACUCCACAGAAAUGGAACUUCUUGUGCAAAUCAAAUUCAUUUCUCAAUGAAUUCCUCAACAAGUCGUUCCUCAGCUGGGAUUUGAUGUUGAUUUGGGGCUCCACUUCACAAAAGAUGGAACAUCUUGUCCCACAAGUCACUCCUCAGAUGGGAUCAGGGGCUUCAUUCCAUAAAAAUGGAACAUCUCAUGCUACAAGUCACUCCUCAGCCGGGAUCUGGGGCUCCACUCCAUACAAAUGGAUCAUCUUGUCCAAAUCAAAUUCAUUUCCCAAUGAAUUCCUCAACAAGCCAUUCCUCAGCUGGGAUUUGAUGUUGACUUGAGGCUCCACAACAAUUCAACACCUUGUGCCACAAAUCAUUCCUCAGCUCCACUUCACAAAAAUGAUGUGGGGCUCCACUCCACGGAAAUGGAACAUCUUGUCCCACAGGUCGUUCCUCAGCCGGGAUUUGGGGCUCCACUCCACGAAAAUGGAACAUCUUGUCCCACAGGUCAUUGCUCAGCUGGGAUUUGAUGGGGUCAGGCCCUCAGGAGUAACUGAAUCCCAAAAAUGUGGAAUAUUCUGAGUUGGGAGGGACCCACCAGGAUCCAAGUCCUCGCACAGGGAUCUCAAAAUCCCAGCCUGUGCAUCCCUGGGAGCUUUGUCCCAGCAUUCCUGGAGCUCUGGCAGCCUUGGGAAUGUCAGCAUUCCCUGGGGAGCCUGGGCACUGCCCCACACCCUCUGGAGGUGGAAUUUUCCCUGAAAUCCAACCUAAACCUCCCAGUCAGUUUUGUGUCAUUCCCUGGGUGAAUUUGCAACAUUCCUGACUAAAGCAUGGAACUCAAAAGGAGAAUUUGGGUAGAGAGGCUCACAGAACCAGAAGUGUCAAAGAAAUCCCAAAAAACCAACCCCACUCCUGAAGGGCUCUGGGCUGCAGACAGAGCAGGGAGUGCUCUGCUGCCACAAUUAUAAAAUCUGCACUAAAUAUGGGAUGGGGAAUUACAUUCCACCAGCCGAGGGAAAUGUCUCCAAGAGGAGAAAAAUCCCUCUCCCCAAGCUUGAACUUUAGAAGUUCAGCUCCUCUCCUGUUUCUGUAACAGUGGAGAAAAUAAUGCCAUUGGUGUCCAAACUAUAGGGGGAAAAAAGAAAAGAAAAGGAACUCACAUGACAAAUGCACAGGUGUAAAAUCUUCAGCAUCCAUAAAAAUGAACUGAAGCUCCUUGUUUUUCUUAAUUUUUUUCUCUUUUGUCUUUUUUUUUCUUAUUUUUACCAGCGAGGCCAUCUUAGGUUUAUAUACAAAAGUAAAACUGAAAAUAGACUUUUUUUUUUUUGUUCUCUGUACACAUAAAUUUUUUUUUCCCCUUUUUUAAAAAAAGGAAAAAAAAAACCCCCUUGUCUUAACUUUUUUUUUUUUUUU